rnacentral:rRNA from 1 species
CCUACGGGUGGCUGCAGUGAGGAAUAUUGGUCAAUGGGCGGGAGCCUGAACCAGCCAAGCCGCGUGAGGGAAGAAGGUACAGCGUAUCGUAAACCUCUUUUGUCAGGGAACAAAGUCGGGGACUAGUCCCCGGCUGAGUGUACCUUACGAACAAGCAUCGGCUAACUCCGUGCCAGCAGCCGCGGUAAUACGGGGGAUGCGAGCGUUAUCCGGAUUUAUUGGGUUUAAAGGGUGCGCAGGCGGACUGUUAAGUCAGCGGUAAAAGCCCGGGGCUCAACCCCGGCGAGCCGUUGAAACUGGCGGGCUGGAGUGGGAGAGAAGUUAGCGGAAUGCGCGGUGUAGCGGUGAAAUGCGUAGAUAUCGCGCAGAACACCGAUUGCGAAGGCAGCGUACCGGAUCCAAACUGACGCUGAGGCACGAAAGCGUGGGUAGCGAACAGGAUUAGAUACCCGAGUAGUC